UAAUUAAAAUAGAAAAGGAGAUGUGUAAUUUAAACACCCAGGGGGAGGCGGGUCUUUUUUGCACCUCAAUUGCCGCACAAUCUUUUCAAGCCAGAUAAUUAUUUUUUACAGCCAAACGCGAGUCCGAAUUUAUAUUACAAGACAGACCCUUAUAGACCCGCCCGUCAAACAUACCCUUAAGGUAUCAUAAAUAGACCGUAAGAUAAUUUCACAGCCACAAAUAUUUUGAAAUAAAUACUAUUGUACGAACUCCCACUCUAAUGUCAAAAUUUGCGUUCAUUGAUGUGUGUUCAAGAAAUAUUAAAUCUGGAGUAACAAUUGACUUUCUGUGAUUUUACAAUAUAUAAUUGUGAUAUAAAUUUUUUAUAUCAACCUUAAACAUAUUAUUACUUUAAUUUUAAUUAAAUAAACAAUGACAUAUUUUUAACGUUUCUUGACUAAUAAAUUAUGUGAUAAUUGACGUGUCAUUUCAGGAAUUAAGUCUGAAAUUUCAUUGAGUGUCAUUCAGAUCAAAGUUGACCAUGACACUCCCCUUUAUGCUCUCCUGAUUUCCAGUCAGCCAGCCACAUUAAAUUUCAGCCAACCCAAAUUAUCAAUGUAAUGUCAAAAAUUUGUGUUCUAACUCACCAUCAUCAAUAAAUCACCAUUAACUAUUAAGGAACAGUGACUUUUUAUAUCGUUAUUAGCCAGUUACAACUUACAACUAAGGAAUCUAGAAGCCCAUAAAGUGACAAUAAUAUAAUAUCAGUGAUUUGAUCGGUUGGAGACCGGCUGCGACAAGUUAAAUAAAUGAAGUUCUCUCUCACUCGCUCUACCCACUCUCCCAAAACUUAUUAUUUUUUAAA
rnacentral:lncRNA from 1 species